UAUAUAAAUAAAGACUGAUUCUCAACUAGAUCAUUACAGCUGCCGACAGCAUCAUUAUCUAACGUUACUAUAGCAAUGGCGUCUGUUUUACCAAUUUGUUUGUUUGUUGUAGUUUUAGCUUUAACAUCAGCUGUGCCGGUUGAUGAACAAAAACCUUUCGAUUGUCCAGAAAAUGAAGUUUACUACAAAUGCCAACUUGAAGCCUGCUUCACGAAAUGUGAUCACCUAGCAAACAUCCCACCGUGUCCGUCUAUUGUCGCGGGUUGCUAUGACCCAGCCUGUCUUUGUAAGGGCGGAUACCUUCGGAGUUCUUCGGGCACUUGUGUACCUGAAGAUCAAUGUGUCGUGGAAUAACAUUAAUUAUUUCCUGCAUCUGCUUCCCUGGCCUGAAUAUCAACGAUUUAUGAAAAUUCUUUAAUGGUGAACAAAAGAAAUAAACAUAACAUAAAAUCGA
rnacentral:lncRNA from 1 species